GUGUCGUUGGGGGAGUAGUCAAACCCAGGAGACUUAAGUUCUCCCGCCUCGGCUUCGUCGGUGCAAAUCCGGCACGACACA
rnacentral:tRNA from 1 species